rnacentral:lncRNA from 1 species
GUGAUGACACAUACAGGAGGGCACAUGUGUAGGAGAAGCUUCCACCUGCACAUGAGAAAACUGCCAAAUCCAAGAGGAACUCCUACAUCUUCCUUUUUCCACACAUGAUUAGUAUGUUGAAAUUUAAGAGGAAUUCUACUCAAAAUUAAAGUCCAAUGAGGAUAAAAACACAUAGAGAUCGAUCAAGAAAGAAAGAGUGUUCCUC